UGCCUUCAGGGGCUAAAAGAUGGCAAUGUGAUGACGUUGUGACUGAUGGAAAAAUAACAAUACAUUGCUGCUUAGUAUUACUGUCUCAACCUAUGAAUAUGGUCAUUACAGUCUCAACCAAAGUAGCGAGCUUCUUUUCUCUUGAAUCAACAGUUACAUCGGGCUGCUUACAUUUGCAGGACAUUGAGAAGUAAGAAAAUUUUAGAUUUGACAAAUGUUGACUGAAGAAAUGGCUAGGAUGUAUACAGUGUGUUUGGCGAAUUUGAAUUGGGGCGAACUCAGAUUUAGGGUCAGGUUGUGGUUUACUCUUUGUACAGUUUACACUAUAAAAUUUGUUUCAUUUUAUAUUCUUGUACCAUUUGAUUUGGCAAGUUAACUGGUUCCAAUCCUUGUUCAGAUAGUAACAAAGUAGAAGAUUAUUUUUGUUUUCUUUCUAUUCUAGAAGGGGAAUAGUUUAAUUGAGUGAUAAUUUUGAUGCCAAUUUUUGUAAUAAGUGCCAGGUGAUUUAUGGUUCUUUUGGAUAGACAUGGUUAAACCACUUUUGAGUAUUAGAUUCUGAAUGUACAAUUAUGACUGAAGUGAUAGAAGAUAGUAAUGGGAAACAGUGGUGUAUUAUAAAGCAAAUGAACUUCAUUUGACAGUAGUUUGCUAAGAUUUCUGCAAUUAUUCUCUGUACAUUCUGGACCGGAAUAAAUUUCCUGCUCCCAAUCUAACUGGAAUAUAUUUCAUGCUCCCAAUCUAUUUCCAUGAUACUUCGGUUAGACUCUCCGUUUAUUAUUCAUUUCUGGUUAUCGUGUAACUUGAUAGAACAUAUAUGCGCAUUUCGUGGCACUGUAAUAGAACCAUCAAUAUGCUAUGGUAAUAGUGUGUGCACAGAAAAAUAACCAAUUUAGCAUCCUCAUUUUCUCACUCAAGGAAAUACUAAAGAGAAUAAAAAACCUAUUUCUAUCAUUCCAGUUGAAUAUGACCCAAGAUGAAUGCUCUCGACUUGGGCCAAAAGGAUUUAAUCCAUAACAACAUUAAGCUACAACUUAAUAAGUAACAAAAGGAUUUAAUCCAUAACAUUAAGCUACAACUUAAUAAGCAACUAGAACAAGUGUUCCAUACAAGCAGCUUUAUAAAGACAGCAUAAGAAUGUCUACAAAUUUAAGAACUCUCCAUGCUUGAUGCUUUGGCCUCUUGCUUCUCUUCUUCACUCACUGUUGUAAUAUUUUCAGCAGGUGACUCCAUGGGAGAAUCAUUAUCCUUUUUCAGUUCUGAUUCAAAUUCUUUUGCUGCCUGCAAUCGGAAAAUGUCAAUUCAGCGCGUGCUUAAUUCUGUUUUUAGUAUGUGAUGCCCAUACAAUAAAUGAAGAAAGGAAAGGAGAAGCCAAAAUAGUAUUUUGUUUCCUAUAUUCUCUCUAAAAUAGCAUAUAGAGAAGAGGCGAGAAUCUUGACACACUUUUGGAGAUGUUGAAGGUACAAAUUGCUAAGGUUUUAUGAGUAGUUAUGAUUUAGGAAGCCCUUGAGCAAACAUGGAAACUGUAUAAUGUGGGAGGCAUGCACCAAUCAAUUAACCGUGAUGUGCAGUGUGUUCAAAUUUAAUGCAACAAACAGAAGCGCAAGGCAAAAAAAAAAAAAUGCUCGAGUUAUAUCCUAUCUAUCAUCUCUUUGUGAUCUCUCAUCCACUAUAAUGUAUCCCUUGGUCAAUGAUCAUUUUUUUCUCCUGAAAAAUUGUAAAGAACAUGAUGAUGUUAUAUAGGCCCAAUGGAUAAUUUUAAGAGGUAGCAUAGGAGGAUACGAAGACAAAUAUAAAUGUGUAAAAUUGCUAGUUGACAUGUAUCCAUAUCUAUGGUUCAAUUUGAACAGUGC
rnacentral:lncRNA from 1 species